AGCGAACGCUGGCGGCAGGCCUAACACAUGCAAGUCGAACGAACUCUUCGGAGUUAGUGGCAGACGGGUGAGUAACACGUGGGAACGUGCCUUUAGGUUCGGAAUAACUCAGGGAAACUUUAGCUAAUACCGAAUGUGCCCUUCGGGGGAAAGAUUUAUCGCCUUUAGAGCGGCCCGCGUCUGAUUAGCUUGUUGGUGAGGUAAUGGCUCACCAAGGCUACGAUCAGUAGCUGGUCUGGGAGGAUGACCAGCCAACAUUGGGACUGAGACACGGCCCAAACGCCUACGGGAGGCAGCAGUGGGGAAUCUUGCGCAAUGGGCGAAAGCCUGACGCAGCCAUGCCGCGUGUAUGAUGAAGGUCUUAGGAUUGUAAAAUACUUUCACCGGUGAAGAUAAUGACUGUAGCCGGAGAAGAAGCCCCGGCUAACUUCGUGCCAGCCGCCGCCGUAAAAC
rnacentral:rRNA from 1 species